AUUCCAGCUCCAAUAGCGUAUAUUAAAGUUGUUGCAGUUAAAACGCUCGUAGUCGGAUUUCGGGGCGAUCCCGCCGGUCUGCCGUUGGGUCCUUCCUUCCGGAGACCGUUCCUACUCUUAGCUGAGCGGGGACGGGAGACGGAUCGUUUACUUUGAAAAAAUCAGAGUGUUUCAAGCAGGCAUUUGCUCUUGCAUGGAUUAGCAUGGGAUAAUGAAAUAGGACUUUGGUGCUAUUUUGUUGGUUUCGAACACCGAAGUAAUGAUUAACAGGGACAGUCAGGGGCACUCGUAUUCCGCCGAGAGAGGUGAAAUUCUCAGACCAGCGGAAGACGAACCACUGCGAAAGCAUUUGCCAGGGAUGUUUUCAUCG
rnacentral:rRNA from 1 species